rnacentral:lncRNA from 1 species
CUCAAUGCUGUGUAGAUCUGAAAUGUCCACAUCUGUUGCAGCUGCUCCAAAAAGAAACCAAGUGCGUAUUAAUUUCUUCCCCGGAACUUAAAUUUAUUGGAGUGGAGUUUAUGUUAGAUUCAAUACCGCUACCUAAGUCAACCAUAGGGUGAAAACUUUCAACCUACUAUUUUAAAUAGAGAAAACAUAUAAGAUUUUACUUGACCCUAUAGUAUUGUGACUGUCGAUAAAACUUGAAAAUGCAUGAGAUUUAAAUAAAAAUGGCAAUUAUGAAUGAAUGCAUGAGAUUUAAACAAAAAUGACAAUUAUGAAUGCUCCAUGCGACUCUUUAGUCCAGGUUUUAUAUCAUAUGUGACACCUCAAAGCUCUCACCAAGUGCAUGUUAUGUUAAUUAAUAAAACUUACAUGAGACGUCAAGGAUUUAUUUAUAUUGCAUUUUAAUCACCAUCUCAUGUUAAACACACAUUGACUGCUCUUUAAUUCCUUAAGGACCUCUCACUUGUCUGAUUCUGAGUUGUGGUGUUCUCAUUUUGUCCAAAUUAAUGAUCCUCUUUCCUACACUUGGCAACUUGGAAAAUGUUUAAACAUGUAAACACCUGCAAAAUAAAAAAAACUAGGUUAGCAAAAAGAUCAACAAGAGUAUUUUCAUCCCUUAAAGGAGUGUGGUACUCUUACUGACAUUAAAUACCUCAAUCUCCUAAUAGAUUUUACUUCCAUUUUCACGCUCUAGGGAACAUCUCACACACCAUUAACUAUAUGAAACAAGUUUAGUGAGUCUAUUUCUAUGAUAACAUUUAGCAAGUUAUUAUCAAAAUAAUACUGCAAACUUUAUCUCAUGGCCACAACUUUAGCUACAAGGGUUGUAGAAUAAGGAAUCUUAAACCCCUUAGCACCAAUUUGAUUUCCAACUUGAUCUAUAACACAAAAGCCACAUAACUGGGGCUUGAUUACAUCUAGAUGCCCCAUCCAUAUUACAAUUCCACAAAUCUCUUGGGGGGGCACUCUAUCUCAUAAUUUUAGUCGUAAAUUUAGGCCUGUAAUCAUCCAAUAAUGCAAUAGCUUGGAGCAAAUUGCUUGGUAUUUAAAUGUAGUCAAACUUCCAUUUCAUGAACAAUAUGAUAGUACUUAUAAUGUCCCAUAUAACUUUCCUGGUAGAGCACCUACCUUCAUGUAGUACAUGUCCAUUACCCAUUCACAUUAGCACCCAAUUUAAACAUAACCUCAAGAAUACUAUUUAGCUACUCAUGAAAAUUGAGAAAAUAAAUAUACCCAAGUUGGCAUUCAAUGCCUCCAUUGAUGCAAAGAAAGAAUAAUAUCAAAUCUAAUUUCAAAUUGUAACUAAAAAUCUUUUGGAAAAUUUAGCAACAAUUAUCUUUUCCAAAGUGGUAGGGUUUCUCUCAAUAAAAAUUGAAAGAUGCCUCAAGUGUGUAAGGGUUUUGCCCUUUUUAGAAUUGGAACCAACCGUGUGAAUUUGCCAAUCAACCCCUGGAAGACUUCCUCGUCAUUGUGAUCGCCAUUAGCUAAUUGCGAUCACAAUUCCCGCGAUAGUAGUGAACCUAUCAUGAUUGCCAAUAUUUGACCAGGGCUUGACUGGUCGAGAUCCCAAUCCUCAUACCGUGAUCGGGUAACUGAGGGUCUAUCCCUGCUCCGAAUUUUUUAGCUUUUGCACUAACUUUGUCUUUUUUGUUCUCUUUUCAUCUUGCUUCACUUUGUUUCUUCCAAUUUCCAGUAAAACCUACAAACCAUGGGAAUUAGUGCAUUCAAAUGGCAAAUUCAUAUCGUUUACACAACUUAACCAUAGUAGUGUGCACAAAUUUGGAUGUCAAUGAGUGGUAAAUUUACCACUCAUCAACACCCCCAACUUAAAUCUUUGCUUGUCUUCAAGAAACACUACUUAUUUCUUAAUGAGACCAUGCAAAUAUAAGACUAUUCAUAUGACCAAAUGAUCACAAUGAUUUCGAUCUUGAUUAGCACCAACAAGUAGCUCUCAAGCAUGGAAAAAUCUAUUCUCACAACUCCGUUUAACAUAAAGCACACUUUCAAGGAUGCAACAGACUUCAAAGAACAACUAAACAAUAAUCACUAACUCUCUAGAAGUGACUCUUCAUUGAUACCAACUUAACUAUACUCAUUUACCUCAUUUUCGAAAGAUGACAAUUUCACUAGCCUCAAUUAGUCUACAUGCCUCCACACGAAAGAAAACCCUACACAUCAAAGUAUCUAUCAUGCAAUAAGGAAUUUAAGUGCUAGCACUCACUCUCAUAAAGAAUCUAUCAAUGAGAACAAGUAUCAUACCAUAUGCUUGCCCUUAUUUUUAAUCGCCACUAUUUUGAAUACACUUGAUUGGAGAUCUCGAAGGAAUUUUUCAAGCUUGUAAUGUAGGCUCGGGAAAGGGUAUGAUAUCAUUUGGGAACAAAGUGACUACACCCCCCUUGAACAUCUACAUCACACUAUUCAAUCAAACUUUGGACCAUGGACCACUUAAUUUGGUUUCAACUUCACAUAGGUGCCUACUUUCACUACCUUGCUGCACCCAUUUCUUUGAAAGCAUUUUAUUCUCAUUUAUUUCUUUUGUGCAACCUAUGUUUUUCCUUCUUUUGAUGAUUUCUUUCUUUUUCACUUUUUCAUUUACGUUCUUUACUUAGCUUUUGGGCACCCACUUACAAUACCAUGGCCCAAGGUCACCUCUUUCAAGAUUAACCACCCCCAACUUAAGAUUUUUACCUCAAGUUGUAUUUUUAACUCCACCCGAUGGCCAUUAAUCUAUCAUGAAAUGCCGAGAGAUUUUUUGUCACCUUAUCCAAGCAUAUGCCCUUCUCUGGAAGUAUCUUUGUUUUGGGGAGGUCAGCAUAGUACAAGGUUUGGCUUUUCUAAGGCCAUAAAGCGCGUUCAGUCAUAAUCUCUCAUAUUUAGCUUUAAUAACAUGAAAACACUGCAACAACAUUAAUUAUCAACAUUUACAUGCAAAAACUAGGCUAUGCUAUUUAUUUAAGCUAAUGGGAUGGUGUCUUGAGAAUUUUUGGGCAAGAAAUGGAUUUGAAGGAUUUUUGUUCUUGGUUCAAAAGCAGCCUCAAAUGUCGUGAUCGCAAGCUACUAAGCCGCGACCGCACUCUUAUGACCACGAUCGCAGUAACUAAGGCUUGUCGGACCAAAUUUCUCAAGACACAAAACUUCUAAUUUCAAUGCCAAUUUCUGUUCCAAAGCAAAAAUUUACAUUAAGAGCAAGAAACAUAGUCCAUAGAUACUCAAUCAUGCCCUUAUAACAUAGGAAAACUAGUACAUAAUUCAUUCGGAUAUUUAAUUUAAAACUUGGUAUGCACAUACUGUUACUAUAAAUUUUGAACAAAUUAGGGUAUUUCAAGAAUUCCCCAUCAAAGUACACACCAAUAACAACAACCAAAUACACCAACAAGUACAAUUAAACCGUGGAUUUAGCAUGCAAAUCAUUAUUUUAGGCCAUUUCUAAUACAUGAGUUCUAAAGCCUACAUACUAGAACAAAAGAAAGAAUUUGAAGUACAUACUAGAUUGAGAGAUGCAAAGGAGAUGCUUAUAUAAUUUUGGAUGCCCAAAACACAAUAAAAAAUGGGUGCAAUUGUUAGUAAUUUGAAAGGGAAUGUGGGGGAAAAUAUAGAUCAACUAUUCAUUUAACCCAAUCAUGAAGGUAAUUGCGGUCAAAGUUCUGCGAUCGUGGUUACACAAUAUUUGCAAUUGCGAUAGCAUAGACACCGCGAUAGGUUCCCACCUUGCCUUUGAUAGGCUGGAUGGGAACUCCCCGAGUAUUUUACCAAGUAUCUAAUUUCUUCAUAUAAGGACUUUUCCUCAUGUUCAUCAUACCCUUUACAGACCAUGGCAUUGACCAUUUUUGUGGGUACACUCAGUACAUAUUUUUGUAAGGAGGUCUAAUUGUGUCUUUAUUUUUUCCAUAUUUUCCUCCUACUCUUCUUCUUUCUUUGUUUGUUUUUAUGUUCAAAAGUGAUUUAGUGGUAGAACUCAUGGCUACCUUAGUAUCUUGGGUGUACCACCUCCUAUUUUGCUUUGUGAUUUGUUCAACCAAAGUAGAAGCCACUCUAUACAUAACCUCAAAAGUGAUCCACCGGAUGUGUUGUCCACUAUGAUCUGGUUUAGUUGGUCCAACACUCUAUAGAAUAUUUAGAGGAGCAUUUUAUCCGAUACAUCAUGGUUAGGGCAAUGCAUAAGCUUUUCAUUAUAUCUCUCCAAAACUUCAUGUGGAGGCUCUCUAUUGAGUUAAUAAAAGUUUUUGAUUUCAUCCCGCAAUUGCAACAUCUUUGAUAGUGGGAAACAUUGAUCUGAGAAAGCAUUGGUAAGUUUGACCCAUGAUGUGAUGGAUUGGUGGGAAGAGACCUUAACUACAACACUGACUUACCCGUUAGAGAGAACAAGAAGAGGGAUAACCAUAUGGACUCUUAUGAGAUGUGAGUGAUAUAAAAGUGGGCCCAGACCUCCACAAAAUUCUUCAAAUAAAAAUUUGGGUUGAGAUUUACCCCCAAAGAGACCUUUAAUUUGCUGCAUAUGAAGCAUCACACUCGUGAUGUGGAAAAACCAAUUCCCUUUAUUCAGUGGGAUACAGAUGGUACUAGCCCGCCCCGCAUUAUAAAGGUGGUCCUCAUCAUCAAGAGGACCAUCAAAGGUCCUAGCAUUGCUUCCAUGAUCACUCAUUUUGUCAUGGACACUAUUAAACUCACCUAUUAAAGAAACAAAAAUGACAAACAUCGUAAAUAACAAACACUUCGAGUAAACCCAAAGUUUCUAUAAAACCACACAAGUAAAAACUGAGUUUCACUCCCCAACAAUGGCACCAUUUUGAUCACGCUCAACUUACUAUAUUAUUUUAGGGCAAGACAAUUAUUGUGAAUAUAAUAACCCAACUUAGGUUGGGGUUAAAUCCACGAGGAGUGUAAUUUUUAGUCUUUGAUUCUUAUGGAUGUUAAAAGUCACUAAGCAUUGACCCGCAAUGUAAACUCAAAGCUAAACAUAAUUUAAAUUUUGGGGAGGGGUAUGAUUUAAUAGUUAUUUGAACAAAAUUAAAUUGUGAUACUAAAUGAGGGAAACAAUUUUUUUUAUUGAAUUCUAAUGAUAAAAAAAGUCUCUAGGCUAUGCUUUCCUAGGGGCAAUUAAUGUAUGGGUGCAUGAUAACAUAAUUCUAAUUCUAGUAAAUGAAUAAAUGGGUAAGCUAGGUUAGAGGUUAUGGUGUUAGUAUUUCAACAAUACACCAAAAUUUCACCUAUGAAUUUUUUCAAAUUCCUUAUUGUCAAAAUAAACAACCUAAAAUCUUAAUUUGGAAUCCGUAUUCCUAGGAUGAUGCCUAAGACAUAGCAAACUCAUAAAUAAUCCUUAUUUCUAAGACAAUAUUAAGGAGUAAGAUACAAUCUACUUUAUUGUCCAGUAAUACUCAUCAUCCACAUCUCUCUUUCAAGGAUGAUGUGGGAUCUAGGAAAAUUGGAGCUUUUAUCUAUAAUUUCUAAUUCAACAAUCAAGUAUUAGCGAAAUCCAACAUCGUUAAAUAAGAAUUAGAACUACUAAUCAUUACCCAUACAUAUUAGCAUCCUAUUUGAAUAUAACCUCAAGAAUGCAAUUUAGCUACUUAUGAAAAUGGAGAAAGAGAUAUACCCAAGUGGCAUUCAAUGCCUCCAUUGAUGCAAAGAAAGAAUAAUAUCAAAUUCAAUUCCAAGUUGUAAUUAAAAAUCUCUUGAAAACUUUAGUAACAAUUAUUUUCCCCUAAUUAUUCGGUUUUUUCUCCACACAAAAAUUGAAUUCUAGUUGAAAAAUCCCUCAAGUGUGUAAGGAUUUUACCCUUUUGAUAAUUGGAACCAGUUGUGUGAAUUUACCAAUCUGCCUAUGAAAGACUUCUGCAUCAUCGUGAUUGGAUCACGAUCGCAACUCCCGUAAUCGCAGUGAACCUAUCGCGAUCACCAAGAUUUGACCAAGUCUUGGCUAGUCAUGAUCGCGACCCUGAGACUAUGAUUGCAGUAACUAAGGGUCGAUCCCUACUCUAGAUUUUCUAGAUUUUUCACUAACUUUGUUGUUUUUGUUCUCUUUUUAUCUUGCUUCACUUGGUUUCUUCCAAAUACCUAUAAAACCUUCAAACCAUGAGAAUUAGUGUCUUUUCAAAUGACAUAUUUAUCUCAUUUACACAAUUUAACCAUAGUAGUGUGCACAAAUUUGGAUGUUAAUAAGUGACAAAUUUACCACUCAUCACUUAGAAAUUUUUUUUUACCCCAAGCUACCCAAUGCUUUCUUUUUCCUGAAACCUUGUUGCUCUAAAAGACUUUUGCAGAAAUUCUAUGAAGCUCUUUAAUAAGUCAUUCAGGAGGAAUAAUAGCUGAUAAUAUAUGCAUAUGAAAAAUUUGUAGCACACAGGUAGUUAAAAAUUUUGUGCCUCCAUAAGAUAGCACACUAGUAAUUAAAACUUUUGUACCUUUAUAAUACAACAUAUUACCUUUCAAGGACUAAAGUUUUGAUUUCACUUUAUUAAUCGGAGUAGCAUAAUAUUUCUUUCUCUAUCUAGAAUGAGAUAUAGAGCAUACAAGAUAUAUCAAAGAAAAAUUUCCUCUAUUCAUCCCUAUAUAUUCCUUUACUAGUUUUCUAUCAGUAACAUUAACAUUUUGAUGUAUGUAAAAAACACGUUUCUCCUUGUUUGCAUUUUAGCCUAAUUGAUCCCUAUAAUCUUGUAGAAUAUACAUGAAUUUCUAUAAGGAAUACUUGUUGGUAGAUGUAAAAAUGAUUGUAUCAUCUGUAUAAGCCAUAUGAUUAAUAUUAUUACUUUAUUUUGAUAAUCUUCCCUAUAUACAUAUCAUCAUCAAAAGCAGCAUUAUGAGACCUAGAUAAAACUUUAGCAGAUAGAAUACAUAAAGUUGUAGAUAAUGGAUCAUCCUACUUUACUCCUUUUGUGGAGUGAAAAAAUACUUUAGCUUGACCUUUUAUAAACAUAGAGUGUCAAUUAUUAGAGAUAAUUCUCCAAAUCAGGUCAAGCAUCAAUUCUGAGAAACCCAUCUACUUUAGAACUUUCACUAGAAAUAAUUAUAAGACUUUAUCAUAUGCUUUGACCAUGUCAAGCUUAAUAACAGCAUUAGCAGACUGACUACUCAUUUGAUAUCUGUUACAAUUCCCAGAGUCAACAGCAUAUUCUCAAUGAUGCUUCUACAUGUCACAAAACCUAACUGGUUAGAUGAGGCUUCAAUUCUGUUACAAACAUCUCUAGAAUUGAUUUUCUUGAUGAAAUUUCUUAAACUAACUAGUAUUAAGUCUGAAUAAGACCUAAAUAGAUCUUUUUAAUCCAAAAGAACUAGAUUAGUAUGGGUGAAAGAUUUAGGAAGAGUAUUAGCUAUGUAAAACCCUUGAACAACUCUAAAAAUAUGUUGACCUGCUAUUUCCUAACAAAUCUAAUAAAACCUACCAGCUAGGCCAUUUAGACCGCUUGAGAUAUCACCACUGAGAAUAAAAAUAAUCUUCUUGAUUUCUUCUUUAUAUGGUAAAUCAAUGAGAUUUGCAUUCUCUCUAUCAUUCAUGACUUUAGAAAUAUGAGGCAACAAAGAAAAAGAUGUAGCAUCCCUAUCUUGUAUGAACUAAUGAGAGUAAAAAUCCAUUACCUAUGUUGCUACAUCUCCUUCUUUCUCCAACCAAUUACCAUCACUAUCCUUGAUCCUUUGAAAUUGGAGUUUAUUCUUUCUGCCUUUCACAAUACUAUGAAAAAAUCUGGUAUUUUUAUCUCUUCAAAAUACAAGUAAUUUUAAAGCUCAAAGACUUUUGAAGUAUUGUUCUAUUUUAAACACUUGGAUCUUAUUUGAAUAAUUAUUCUUUGAUCAUCACUAUAUCUUUCCUAAUAAUCAACUAUUUAAAAAUGUCACUAUAAUAUUCCUUGCUCUAUUUAGUGAAGGCAGUCUUCACUCAUAUGAUAUUUUUCUUGAAAUCCAAAAUGGGACUUUGAGAAUCAUUAACUUUCCAAUAUUGUCUCAUAAACUCCAUGAAAGUCUCAUUUUUCAGUCAAGAAUUUGAAAAAUUUUAAAGAUUUUGUCAAUCCUCUCACCCUCUCCUCAAGAACUAGAAGCAUAGUAUCAUAAUCAGAUUCUAUUCUUGAAAAAUGUUUUGCUUUCAUAGAGUUGAACCAAUUUUACAUCCCUUGAUUAGUAAGCAACCAAUAUAAUCAUUCAACAAUACAAUUAUUUUGUGCUCUACCAUGCCACUAUAUGAAAAUGCUCUCCUUAAAUUUAAUUUCAAAUAUGACAGGCUGCUAUACAAUUAUCCAUGUCUUCAUGAUUUUCCUAAAAAAUAGUUAAACCAUCAAUUUGUUCUUUUGGAUUUCUAACCACAUUAAAGUCACCCCUAUUAACCAUGGAAAAUUUAUGUUAUUUGCUAGUUGAUAUACCUUAUCCCAUAGCACCAACCUAUCUUAUGUAAUACAUUAAGAUAAAAUAGAAAAUAUGGUCUUGAUUUUGUUGUUUCACCCUCAAGGUCAAUUGCUGCUUUAUGUCUUCAAAACUAAAAUUUCAAACUCUGAAUUAAAGAAAAUCUAGAUUUUACCAUUAUAAUUUGAAACACAUGUAGCAUGUUCAACCUUCUCAAGAACUUAUUAAUAUUUCUUUUAUUUUAAAAGGGUUCAAGUAAGCUAAUAAAGGAAAACUUGUGAUAACUAUUUAACAUUUGAACCCUGUAAAAUUUUUGUUGAGUCCUCAGUUAUUUAAUAUUCCAAAUUAAAGCUUCCAUCUUUUCUUUGUUGUUGAUAAUCUUUUAGGUUGCAUUCUAGUUGGUUUAGAAUUCUCUACAUUUUCUUGCAUUUGAUCCCUUUUGAAUUUCUUUAAUACCCUUGGUGAAAGGUUUGCAUCUAUGGGAUAAUCCUCAUAAAUAUCCUCUGAAUUUUCUACCUUUAUCAAGCCUACUAUUUGACCCAAAUCCUUUUCUUCAUCCAUUCCCAUAUUAUGUAAUGUAAUAUCGUACAACAUUCCGUUAGAGGAAAAAUAACUUAUAACAUUGGUGUCAUCAAUCUAAAAUAUUAUGGGGAUAAUCAUAAUAGCCUUUAUUUUUGUUUCCUGUAUUAUUAUCCACCAAAUUCACUCUAGCAUUAGCAAUAUAUAUUAUACUACUUUGAAACAUACAUCUUCAUAAUUUUCAUCCUCCAUCUAAUUCUUUGUAGUUUACUGUGCGACAUGAACUGCUUCUGCUAUUUCCUUAAUAUCACAACAAUCAUCACUAAUGCAUGUUGAAUACCUUCUCUCUGAAAAAAGUAUGUCUGCAAGAUUAUCUUUUCCAAAUGGGUAGUCUAAACCAAUUCUUUUAACAACAUUUGAUUUUCCUGUCUCAGGAAUUGCUGAUGUUGAUGCUAACUUGUGAGCACUACUUAUACUUGAUGAAUUACUGAGAAGACCUAUUGUUUCUGCAAUAUUAAUAUCCAUAGCUACACAUGAUAUUGUUGCCCUUGUAGAUGUGCGAGAAACCUCUGUUUCCUUCUCAUUUUCCUUGUUUGUAAUCUCAUCCCCUUCUAAUUGUGAUGCUCCAC